rnacentral:lncRNA from 1 species
GCCGUCUCGGUUGCUGUCACAGUGAUUGAUUAAUUCCCAAGCUUGAGAAUCAUAUCAAUCGGAAGAUCUGAGUUCAUGCUUGAACUUCUGAAUAACGAUAGGACACUAACUUUAAGUUCAUGCUUGAACUUACUGCUGGACCUGUUCUUGUUUAUGACUACAAGCAUGUAGAUCAAAAAACGUCAGUGAUAGAAGUCCAUGCAUGGACUGACGUCAGGACUGACUUAGAACAGGGAUCUGUUGUUAGUUAGUGUCCGG